rnacentral:rRNA from 1 species
UCGAGAAUAGUCUACAAUGGACGAAAGUCUGAUAGUGCGACGCCGCGUGAACGAAGAAGCCCUUCGGGGUGUAAAGUUCUUUUAUAUGUGAGCAAUGCUUCUUAGGUGAAUAGUCUGAGGAGAGAGAUAUUAGCAUAUGAAUAAGCAACGGCUAACUCCGUGCCAGCAGCCGCGGUAACACGGGGGUUGCGAGCGUUGUCCGGAAUUACUAGGCGUAAAGGGCAGGUAGGCGGAUAGAUAAGUUUGAUGUUAAAGGCGACGGCUUACCCGUCGUAAGGCAUUAGAUACUGUUUAUCUGGAAUGCGGUAGGGGAAGACAGAAUUCCUGGUGUAGCGGUGGAAUGCGCAGAGAUCAGGAGGAAUACCGAAGGCGAAGGCAGUCUUCUAAGCCGUAAUUGACGCUAAACUGCGAAGGUGUGGGUAUCAAACAGG